ACGCUCGACACCUACAGGAGGCAGCAGUGGGGAAUAUUGCACAAUGGGGGAAACCCUGAUGCAGCGACGCCGCGUGAGCGAAGAGUAUUUCGGUAUGUAAAGCUCUAUCAGCAGGGAAGAAAAUGACGGUACCUGACUAAGAAGCCCCGGCUAACUACGUGCCAGCAGCCGCGGUAAUCUGAGCGGGCUGGCAAGGC
rnacentral:rRNA from 1 species